rnacentral:lncRNA from 1 species
ACCUUGAUGAAUAGCUGCAUCAUGCCCUAGAAAGUCAGGAUCAAAUUCAGAACUCUCUGACUCCUUGGAGUUCCGCCCUGGAAUGUGGAGUGUGCGGAGGGCUCCAGCCUAAGCCCUGGCUCUUACCACCUGUUCCACAGCACAAUCAGAGGGGCUCACAGGAUGCAGACAGACACCUGGGGCCUGAGGCCCAGCUCCACCACCCUAUGGCCCAAGAACUUCCAGAGGACCAGCCCAUAGAGGCCCCGCACAGGCCCUGGAAUUGGGUUGAGGCCAUUUGUGCAGGGAAUUCUGGGAUCUGGGGGACAGCAUGGACCCUGCAUAGGUUUGACCCGUUGGCCCUGCAGACUCCUUGGCCAGUGAGAGGCGAUGCAGAGCACAGGACACAGGUCUUGUCUUGGCUUCUUUCCCCACCAGCCCAUCACCACACUCAACAACGUAGGAGACGCAGCUCUAUGGAUCCUGCAUCCAGCUCCCUGCAAGUGGCUUGGCCUCAUGCUCAGAACCGAACGAACAUCUGGAAGAGCAGUCAGCAUUUGCCUCUUGACGCCUCCCUGCAUUUGGGCUCGGCCCACUCCACCUGGCUUCCAACCACACCUCACAUCUUCCAACACCCCAAGGACACGGGUAGGCUCUGGCUUAUGUGACUGAAUCUGUUCUCUUCCUCUUCCUGAGACUCCCAUUUCCCUUGGUGGCAACAAAACACCUGGUUUUAUCCCCCACCUUUCCGGCUUGUUCUCUCAGCCUUCUUAUUUGUUUAUCUGAGACCAUCUUAGUCCAGACCCGCCUGCCCACACAUGGCUUCCCCACAACUUCCCAGCUGACCGGAACCAAUACUUGUUCUUGUCUCAAGCAUUUCUCACACUGUGGACCCCUUCUCCUUUUUCUUCUCCUGAGGCUCUGCCUCUGCCUGUCUACUGGGCCCAUUUCAGUCUCCAGCACCGGCCCCUGCCCUGGCUGGCCCCUCCUUCCCCUCCCUCCCCUCCUACCCUCUCCUCCUCUUCCCUGCACUGGGACUCACUCUGUGCCCAUCCCAGGAAGCCCAGGAUGCCUUUCACGAGGGAUAUUCAAUGCUCCUCAGAUGUUCUCAGACACACGCAAACAAGCUCUAGAUAUAAAGGGCUGGUUGCACACCCUCCCAAUGCACACUGGGUUCUCCUAUGGCUGCUUUCCGAUAACCAGGCGUUCAGCUCAGAAUGGAGACAAGAGAGAUUCUUACACUGCACGGG